UAUGUACUCCCUCCGUUCUGAAUUACUUGUCGCACAUAUGGAUGUAUCUAGAACAUCUAGAUACAUCCAUUUCAGCGACGAGUAAUUUGGAACGGAGGGAGUACUAC
rnacentral:pre_miRNA from 1 species